UGCAUAUCAAUAAGCGGAGGAAAAGAAACCAACAGGGAUUGCCCUAGUWACGGCGAGUGAAGCGGCAACAGCUCAAAUUUGAAAUCUGGCUCUCGGGCCCGAGUUGUAAUUUGUAGAGGAUGCUUUUGAUGCGGUGCCUUCCGAGUUCCCUGGAACGGGACGCCAUAGAGGGUGAGAGCCCCGUCUGGUUGGAUGCCAAAUCUCUGUAAAGCUCCUUCGACGAGUCGAGUAGUUUGGGAAUGCUGCUCUAAAUGGGAGGUAUAUGUCUUCUAAAGCUAAAUACCGGCCAGAGACCGAUAGCGCACAAGUAGAGUGAUCGAAAGAUGAAAAGCACUUUGAAAAGAGAGUUAAAAAGUACGUGAAAUUGUUGAAAGGGAAGCGUUUAUGACCAGACUUGGGCUUGGUUAAUCAUCUGGGGUUCUCCCCAGUGCACUUUUCCAGUCCAGGCCAGCAUCAGUUUUCGCCGGGGGAUAAAGGCUUCGGGAAUGUGGCUCUCUCCGGGGAGUGUUAUAGCCCGUUGCGUAAUACCCUGGCGGGGACUGAGGUUCGCGCAUCUGCAAGGAUGCUGGCGUAAUGGUCAUCAACGACCCGUCUUGAACACGGACCA
rnacentral:rRNA from 1 species